rnacentral:lncRNA from 1 species
GUCAGCUCUUGGAGGGUUAACAGUUCAGAAGCAGCUUCUUCAUUUAAGAGCCAACGUGCUCCCCCUGCUGGUUGAGGGCAGCAAAUACAUCAGUGUGCUUCAAAACCGCAGCCCAAUCUUUGGAUUCCCUUCAAACCGCAGACAGUACUGUGCUGGGCAGUAAAGCUUCAGCAAGGAGCCCUGCAGUACCUUGGGCUUGCUCUGGAAAGAAGCAGACAGGACAUUCCACUGAUGAAGCAAAUAGGACAUUCCACUAUCUGGCCCGCCCACUGGGAGCUUUCCUCAGAUGCAUUCUGAACAAGAUCAAGUGCUAAGACCUCUUUUUGUUGGCAAAUACAGGGAUCAUCUGAAGAGAUAUAAUUCAAAGGCAUCCCGGG